GAUGAACGCUGGCGGCGUGCCUAAUACAUGCAAGUCGAGCGAACGGACGAGAAGCUUGCUUUUCUGAUGUUAGCGGCGGACGGGUGAGUAACACGUGGAUAACCUACCUAUAAGACUGGGAUAACUUCGGGAAACCGGAGCUAAUACCGGAUAAUAUUUUGAACCGCAUGGUUCAAAAGUGAAAGACGGUCUUGCUGUCACUUAUAGAUGGAUCCGCGCUGCAUUAGCUAGUUGGUAAGGUAACGGCUUACCAAGGCAACGAUGCAUAGCCGACCUGAGAGGGUGAUCGGCCACACUGGAGCUGAGACACGGUCCAGACUCCUACGGGAGGCAGCAGUAGGGAAUCUUCCGCAAUGGGCGAAAGCCUGACGGAGCAACGCCGCGUGAGUGAUGAAGGUCUUCGGAUCGUAAAACUCUGUUAGUAGGGAAGAACAUAUGUGUAAGUAACUGUGCACAUCUUGACGGUACCUAAUCAGAAAGCCACGGCUAACUACGUG
rnacentral:rRNA from 1 species